rnacentral:rRNA from 1 species
CAGUCGCCGCGAGAACACGUAGGUGGCAAGCGUUGUCCGGAAUUAUUGGGCGUAAAGGGUUCGCAGGCGGUUUCUUAAGUCUGAUGUGAAAGCCCCCGGCUCAACCGGGGAGGGUCAUUGGAAACUGGGAAACUUGAGUGCAGAAGAGGAGAGUGGAAUUCCACGUGUAGCGGUGAAAUGCGUAGAGAUGUGGAGGAACACCAGUGGCGAAGGCGACUCUCUGGUCUGUAACUGACGCUGAGGAGCGAAAGCGUGGGGAGCGAACAGGAUUAGAUACCCCUGUAGUCCCUGUCUCUUAUAC